GCACACGGAUAACCUGCUGAAAUACAUUAUUAUUAUGUGCCCAUUUGGCUAGCUGAUGGGCAUCCCCAUUCAAUCGUCUUCUAAUAUGGGUACAACUAAAUGCAAAAAAUGACAAGAUAAUCGACAUUUCUGUAGUAGAUUAUUAUAUGACUACCAUGCCAACAUGAAGUAUCUUUAAACAGAUGUUGAGAAGGCUUAUUUUUAAAUGGAUGGGCAUUCGUAAUUUUUGUUCUUUGGAUUAAAAACUAAACUCAACUGAAUUUACUAAGCCUUAUUCCGGCUAAUUGUGGUUAGAUAGAUGAAUCCUGUUUCUCAAUUCUACCAUAUUUAAAGCUACUUUUUAGGAUCCAUGGUAAAACAUUUUGGCCAAAGGUUUCGAAUGCUGGCAGCCUACCUGAUUUAUAGACCAUUCUUUAUCCUGGGUUAAGACCAGCAGUCCAAAAGCACCUGUUAUGUCUCUUGAUCAAAAUAGUUCAAAAAGGAAAUCAAUAUAUUGAAUGUUUGAUACAAAAUUUGGAAUCCUUGUGUUCCAGUGGUUGUCAAGACUUGAGACUAAAACAGUACAGGAGAUGGGUAAUAAAACAGUGGCUUCUUUUGGAGCUUUAACAAAUUGUGGCAGUAAUUAUUUUCCUAGAGUUGAGAGCCAUCAUAGAUGACGACUUCAUACUGACUAUUGUGCAAGUUAUCAACUGAAAACAAGUUAUCAUGUUUGCCAUGUGAUUUCAGAG